CCUACGGGGUGCAGCAGUGAGGAAUAUUGGUCAAUGGGCGCGAGCCUGAACCAGCCAAGUAGCGUGAAGGAUGACUGCCCUACGGGUUGUAAACUUCUUUUAUAAAGGAAUAAAGUGAGGCACGUGUGCCUUUUUGUAUGUACUUUAUGAAUAAGGAUCGGCUAACUCAGGGCCAGCAGCCGCGGUAAUACGGAGGAUCCGAGCGUUAUCCGGAUUUAUUGGUUUUAAAGGGAGCGGAGAUGGGUUGUUAAGUCAGUUGUGAAAGUUUGCGGCUCAACCGUAAAAUUGCAAUUGAUACUGGCAGUCUUGAGUACAGUUGAGGUAGGCGGAAUUCGUGGUGUAGCGGUGCAAUGCUUAGAUAUCACGAAGAACUCCGAUUGCGAAGGCAGCUUACUAAACUGCCACUGACAUUGAUGCUCGAAAGUGUGGGUAUCAAACAGGAUUAGAUACCCGGGUAGUC
rnacentral:rRNA from 1 species